rnacentral:rRNA from 1 species
GAUGAACGCUGGCGGCGUGCCUAAUACAUGCAAGUCGAACGCAUUGAGAGAAGUGCUUGCACUUUUCAAUUUGAGUGGCGAACGGGUGAGUAACACGUGGGCAACCUACCUGAUAGCGGGGGAUAACGAGUGGAAACAUUCGCUAAUACCGCAUAACAAUAGAGAAGGCAUCUUCUUUAUUUAAAAGGCGCUUUCAAGCGUCACUAUCAGAUGGGCCCGCGGUGCAUUAGUUAGUUGGUGGGGUGAAGGCCUACCAAGACGAUGAUGCAUAGCCGGGUUGAGGAACUGAUCGGCCACAUUGGGACUGAGACACGGCCCAAACUCCUACGGGAGGCUGCAGUAGGGAAUCUUCCACAAUGGACGAAAGUCUGAUGGAGCAACGCCGCGUGUGUGAUGAAGGCUUUCGGGUCGUAAAGCACUGUUGUAUGGGAAGAAAUGCUAGGCUAGGAAAUGAGCUUAGUUUGACGGUACCAUACCAGAAAGGGACGGCUAAAUACGUGCCAGCCGCCGCGGUAA